CAACUCCAGCAUCCCUAGUAUUGGAGGCACUGCCUGCCCAGUGACUAAACGUUAAACGGCCGCGGUAUUCUGACCGUGCAAAGGUAGCAUAAUCAUUUGUUCUCUAAAUAAGGACUUGUAUGAAUGGCCACACGAGGGUUUUACUGUCUCUUACUUCCAAUCAGUGAAAUUGACCUCCCCGUGAAGAGGCGGGGAUAAAUCAACAAGACGAGAAGACCCUAUGGAGCUUUAACUAAGUAACUCAAGGAAAAUAAAUUCAACCACCAAGGGAUAACAACACUCCUUAUGAGUUAACAGUUUCGGUUGGGGUGACCUCGGAGAACAGAAAAUCCUCCGAGCGAUUUUAAAGACUAGACUAACAAGUCAAACCAAACCAUCGCUUAUUGAUCCAAAAACUUGAUCAACGGAACAAGUUACCCUAGGGAUAACAGCGCAAUCCUAUUCAAGAGUCCAUAUCGACAAUAGGGUUUACGACCUCGAUGUUGGAUCAGGACACCCCGAUGGUGCAACCGCUAUCAAAGGUUCGUUUGUUCAACGAUUAAAGUCCU
rnacentral:rRNA from 1 species